GGCAGCGCGCACGCGCAAACGCACCUCCCGGAAGCGGCGGGCAACGGGCAGCGCCGAGGGCCAGAAAGGCUCGGCAGGCAGUGGGCGCGCCGUGCUGCGGGGCCGCCAUGGAGGACGACGCGCCGGUGAUUUACGGUCUGGAGUUCCAGGCACGAGCUUUAACACCUCAGACAGGAGAAACAGAUGCAAUAAGAUUCUUGGUUGGAACACAGUCUCUUAGAUAUGAUAAUCAGAUUCACAUCAUAGAUUUUGAUGAUGAAAAUAACAUUAUAAACAAAAACGUUCUCCUUCAUCAAGUGGGUGAAAUUUGGCACAUUAGUACCAGUCCUGCAGAUAAAGGUAUACUAGCAACCUGCUACAAUAAAACUUCAGACAGUAAAGUCAUGACAUGUGCUGCUGUUUGGAGGAUGCCGAAGGAAUUGGAAUCAGGCAGUCAUGAAUCCCCUGAUGAUUCAUCAAGCAACACUCAAACCCUGGAGCUACUCUGUCACCUUGACAACACAGCCCAUGGCAAUAUGGCCUGUGUUAUGUGGGAACCAAUGGGAGAUGGUAAAAAGAUUAUUUCGCUGGCUGAUAAUAACAUAUUAUUGUGGGAUUUGCAAGAGAGUUCAGCCAAAGCCGUGCUCUCUAGUUCUGCAGCCUUGGAAGGAAAAGGACAAUUAAAAUUUACUUCUGGAAGAUGGAGUCCACACCACAAUUGUACACAAAUUGCAACAGCGAAUGAUACCACUGUUCGAGGAUGGGAUACACGAAGCAUGAGACAGAUAUAUUGCAUAGAAAACGCACAUGGACAGCUGGUACGAGACCUAGACUUUAAUCCCAAUAAACAGUACUACCUGGCUAGCUGUGGAGAUGACUGCAAGGUGAAAUUCUGGGACACAAGAAAUGUCACUGAACCAGUGAAGACGCUAGAGGAGCAUUCCCACUGGGUCUGGAAUGUCAGAUACAAUCAUUCUCAUGAUCAGCUGAUCCUUACAGGAAGCAGUGAUAGCAGAGUUAUCCUGUCUAAUAUGGUAUCAAUUUCUUCUGAACCAUUUGGGCAUAUGGUAGAUGAUGACGAACUGAGUGACCAAGAGGACCAACAUCAAGAGGAGAAGUGCUUCAUUCAGUAUAUUGACAUGCCUGAGGUCCAUUUGUGAAGAUAUACUUUCAGGUUACCCUCUUGGUCUAUUAAUGACAGCUUGCAAAUUGACAUUGCAACUGGGUGCAUUAAUGAAACAAGUAACUUUAAGACACCUCUUCGGUCUUUUGUAAACUACAACUGCAAUACUGUCUACCAGCUUAUGUUGUCACUAAGACUGUGAACACAGAACACCUCGACCAAUUUCAAAAUUAUGGGGUGGUCAGCUUUCCCAGGUUUGCAAGAUUUUGGGACCCCUUAAAAGCCAUGCUGACUGAUCUCAGCUGGACUCCAGGCAGAUACAGAAGACUUGUGCCUCUAACUCCACUCCCCGAGAUCCCCUUAGUAUUGGUACUUUGAGCUGGUAGGUAUAUAGGCUUUGGUUGUAUAUGCAGGAGGAGAUAUUUUUAACAGCAGCAUCUUGCCACUCUCCCAAACAUCUUUUCUUUAUCUUUUUUGAAUGGAAGCAGCCUGCAAGCUGGAUGUAGCCCCUAGGCUGCUGGUUCAGGAACAAUGAACUGCUCUUUAAUUGUUCUUUCUUUGUUUCUUUCAAUUUUUACUUUGAUUAAAAUGAAACAUUUAAAAAUGUGAAUACACAUUUUAAGAAAUAUGGCCUUGCUAAGUCAUUACUUUAAUUAUUUAACUAGCGCUGAUUUCAUAUUGUAACAAAACUUACCAGGACAUCUGUGACAAGUUGUGCUUGAUUGCUAUCAGUGGCUGACACAAUGGCUUCUUCCCUUUCAAAUAAGGGAAUGUGGGUGAACAGAAUAAAAAUGCUGUCAAAUAUUUACUUGCAUUCAAAGUUUGUAUGUCCUCCCCUCCUCCACCUACUUUAGACACCCUUCUGGAAAAUGCUUUUGUGAAAGGCUUUGCUGUCAGAAACAGCAAAUGUUAAAUACAUCUAAGCAAGUAUUUGAGGAAAUCAGCUUUUUAUCUCUUUCAAAUGUAAAAUUAUCCUAUUAUGUUUAACCAUUCAGGCAACGGGAAAAAAAACUCUUAUAUUUGCAGCCAAUGAAGAGUAAUAAAAGUGCACAUUUUGAAUGUAAACAAUUUUUUUCAGCUUGUUCAAGAUCAGACUAUAUGGGCCCAGGUCUGAUUUACAGAAAUUGCUCAAUGAAUAAUGAAUAUCUUUGUGAUUUAUGUGAAAACAUAAAAAUUGUAAGCUGGUCCUGGUUAAUUCACAGAGAGGGGAAAACAACAAAAUACAAACCUUAAUUAAUGUGAAUAAUUUAUUCGUCUAUAAAGUCAGCCAUUCAACUUGAAAUAUAUUUCCAUCCCACUCCCCCCCAGAGGCUAUAUGCCCAAAUUAAGGAGUAGCCAUAGAAUCAUAGAAUCAUUAAGGUUGGAAAAGACCUCUAGGAUCAUCAAAUCCAACCAUCAAUCCAAUACCACUGUGCCUCCUAAACCAUGCCCUGAAGUGCCUCAUCUACACGUCUUUUAAAUACUUCCAGGGAUGGUGACUCCACCACCUCCCUGGGCAGCCUCUUCCGAUGCCUGACCACUCUUUCAGUGAAGAAAUUUUUCCUAAUAUCUAAUCUAAACCUCCCCUGACGCCGCUUGAGGCCAUUUCCUCUCAAUGUGCAUGGCCAGACAGCACAAGCACAUUUUGCACGUGAUCACAACAUCUCUAGAAAAUAGAACUGGGACAAAUUCUAGUUUGACUGGAUUCCCACCUGAGGACUACACUGAGCAUGCCCUGCACAUUCACUCUGGACACUGCUAGUAGAAAAAACUGAGGAACUAGCUUGUUAUUUGGUGAAGCCUUUGGAAACCUUCUUUACAAUUUCAGUAUGUUUCAGAUGAUGCCUCAGAGUGGUUUCUUGCUAGAAGAUAAUAUUUUUUUGAAAAAAGACAUCCACCUUUUGGCCUAAUUCCAGUUAAUGUCUAGAGCUGUUUAUAGGCCCAGCAGUAGCAGAUAACUGUAACAGAUAAGAAAAGUGCCCUUCACUUUUAUACAUGUUCUUAGAGAAGCUUUGUCCACCCAGAAGCCAAUCACAGAUUUCCUGAUCCCUAAAAUUCAGAUAUGUGUACAAUUAAUACUGAAACAAGGAAAUAAUUGCAAGUUAUAAAUUCAGAUGUUUUCCUACGUAUGUCUGACAUCAUGCCACAAUACUAUUGCCUUGGCCUGUUCCCAUAAGGAGUUAUCUCAUGUACAAAGUUAUCUAUGUCUUUUCAGCCCAUUUUGCAAAGAAUACAUAGGUUUCCUGAGCAGAGCAGGAUGAAACAGGCAGCAGUUUCCUAUCCGAGUCUGCUUUGCUGCAGCCCUGUGCUCAUGUGCUUUCUUCUCUUCUUUUCAAAUGGUCCCUUGCUAAUCUCCAUGUUUUCUUGCCCUGUGCUCAAAUUGCUGUAAUGUAAGGAAUGUCUCAGGCUCUCCGUUUGCAGACUGUUUUUGUGGUCACAUAGCAUAGCUUCUGCUCAGACCUCACCAUGCCUGUUUGUACCUGAAGCCAUCAGUUCGGGUUUACAUUCGUCUCCAGAUUCUCACAAAACUGAAUGGGAAGAUUUGUUCUUUCCAUUGUUUCAGAUAUCAUUAAAUAUGAGGAAGUGUAGUUACAGCCCUUUGCUGGUGCUCUUCCUGACUGAAUUCAGGGUGGUUAGGGGUGUUUCAGAAAUGUCCAUCCAACAUUAGCUUUUCCAGCACAAGAAUGGUGUGGGGGUCUGUGUUCCCUAAUGUAUAUAGGGCUUUCAAUCAGUAUUAAGACUAUAUUGUACUGAAAGAGCAGUUACAUUUGGCAAAUAAUUUAAGUCAGGUUUGGGAAAUAAAUCCUUUGAUGAAUCAAACAGGAUGUUUUUAUUUCACUGGGGUUUUAAAAAAAAUAAUCUGUACUAUUGGCUGUGCUCUUCACCAAAAACCUAGGCACAUAAUGCAGUAAUGAGUAAUGAGAAUGGAUGAAUUUGAAGACCAGAAGACACUGUAUCUUGGUGGAAUAGAUAAGCAAUGAAAACAUAUUUUAAAAAGAAGUGACUAACUGAAAAAGCAGAUGUAUAGGUGCUGCUGGUUUUUUGAAGGUGGUUUUUUUUAUUAUAAAUUAUCAAUUUUUAUUAGAUUUUUGUAUCCACUGUUGUUUCAUCUAGAUGUAUAGUUAUGAAAAAUAAAAAAUAAUUACCUGAA